rnacentral:rRNA from 1 species
GGUUAAGCGACUAAGCGUACACGGUGGAUGCCCUGGCAGUCAGAGGCGAUGAAGGACGUGCUAAUCUGCGAUAAGCGUCGGUAAGGUGAUAUGAACCGUUAUAACCGGCGAUUUCCGAAUGGGGAAACCCAGUGUGAUUCGUCACACUAUCAUUAACUGAAUCCAUAGGUUAAUGAGGCGAACCGGGGGAACUGAAACAUCUAAGUACCCCGAGGAAAAGAAAUCAACCGAGAUUCCCCCAGUAGCGGCGAGCGAACGGGGAGGAGCCCAGAGCCUGAAUCAGUGUGUGUGUUAGUGGAAGCGUCUGGAAAGGCGCGCGAUACAGGGUGACAGCCCCGUACACAAAAAUGCACAUGCUGUGAGCUCGAUGAGUAGGGCGGGACACGUGGUAUCCUGUCUGAAUAUGGGGGGACCAUCCUCCAAGGCUAAAUACUCCUGACUGACCGAUAGUGAACCAGUACCGUGAGGGAAAGGCGAAAAGAACCCCGGCGAGGGGAGUGAAAAAGAACCUGAAACCGUGUACGUACAAGCAGUGGGAGCACAGAGCAAUCUGUGUGACUGCGUACCUUUUGUAUAAUGGGUCAGCGACUUAUAUUCUGUAGCAAGGUUAACCGAAUAGGGGAGCCGAAGGGAAACCGAGUCUUAACUGGGCGUUAAGUUGCAGGGUAUAGACCCGAAACCCGGUGAUCUAGCCAUGGGCAGGUUGAAGGUUGGGUAACACUAACUGGAGGACCGAACCGACUAAUGUUGAAAAAUUAGCGGAUGACUUGUGGCUGGGGGUGAAAGGCCAAUCAAACCGGGAGAUAGCUGGUUCUCCCCGAAAGCUAUUUAGGUAGCGCCUCGUGAAUUCAUCUCCGGGGGUAGAGCACUGUUUCGGCAAGGGGGUCAUCCCGACUUACCAACCCGAUGCAAACUGCGAAUACCGGAGAAUGUUAUCACGGGAGACACACGGCGGGUGCUAACGUCCGUCGUGAAGAGGGAAACAACCCAGACCGCCAGCUAAGGUCCCAAAGUCAUGGUUAAGUGGGAAACGAUGUGGGAAGGCCCAGACAGCCAGGAUGUUGGCUUAGAAGCAGCCAUCAUUUAAAGAAAGCGUAAUAGCUCACUGGUCGAGUCGGCCUGCGCG